rnacentral:rRNA from 1 species
GAUGAACGCUGGCGGCGUGCCUAAUACAUGCAAGUCGAGCGGUAAGGCUCUGCACUUAGUGUUUGAUCGUAGUAGCUUGCUACUGGAACAAACCAACUCGAACCUAGGCUAGGGGAGACGCGGCGCGGGAAGAUCGAAUUAUAAGUGUAGAGUACACGAGCGGCGGACGGCUGAGUAACACGUAGGAACGUACCCCAGACUGAGGAAUAACUGCCCGAAAGGGUAGCUAANACCGCAUAGUCUCUUCGGAGUAAAGCUUCGGCGGUUUGGGAACGGCCUGCGCAUGAUUAGCUUGUUGGUGAGGUAAAAGCUCACCAAGGCGACGAUCAUUAGCUGGUCUGAGAGGAUGAUCAGCCAGACUGGACUGAGAACGGCCCAGACUCCUACGGGAGGCAGCAGUAGGGAAUUUUCCACAAUGGGCGAAAGCCUGAUGGAGCAACGCCGCGUGCGAGGA